GUGCGAGGUGUGAGUGUGCGUGAGACCCCACCUGUGUUAGUGGCUCCCCCUGUGAGAUGGCAGGGUGAGGUCUCCCCCCUCCGGAGGCAGGGCUGAGGCACAGAGGGGCCAGAGUGGGUACACUGUUUUUCUGCUGAGCUGGCUUAUUGGCCUGCGCCAUCAGGCCACUGCACAUGGUCCAAAACUCUGCUGACUGGCUGCUCUUCAACAUGCCUAAAUUCUCAAAUUCCAUUCUGCUUUUGAACUGUUCUCUAGUUCUUGGUUGCUGCAUUCAUUCAUUUCAAGUCACUAACACUGGUACACCAAGCUGUGAAUGGUACUGCCCCUCCCUAACUUCUCCUUACGGUCCCAGCACUUCUUUGUUCUGGUUUCCAGAUGGUCGAAUGACCUCACCCAGUCAGUCAGAAUGGCAGAAUUAGACUGUUUUCCAAAAGCAUCUAAACCCCACCCUAUUUAGACUACUACUAUUCUCUCCCUUUAUAUGGCAAGGUCUGUUCUUUGACAGUGGCGCUUGUAUGACUUAUUUUACCUAUCUCUAGGUCCAGUGCUGUUUGCUUGCCCUGCAAAAAGCAAUUUAGGCUAAAUUGCAAUAGCUAAUUGUUAAUUGUAAAUCAUUUAAAGCUUCCAUUUACAUAUAUACUCAGUCAUUCUACUGGAUAUGUUUUAAAGUUUUUCAGUGUUUGUUCUCUGUGUACAUAAAGGUGUGCUUGUCUCUGUUUUCAUUUCCAUAAUAAAGAUCCAACUGAUGUUUUA